rnacentral:rRNA from 1 species
GACGAAGGAUGCAAGCGUUAUCCGGAUUCAUUGGGUUUAAAGGGUGCGUAGGCGGACUGAUAAGUCAGUGGUGAAAUCUCUUUGCUUAACAAAGAAACUGCCAUUGAUACUGUCGGUCUAGAGUAUAGAUGACGUUGGCGGAAUAUGACAUGUAGUGGUGAAAUACUUAGAUAUGUCAUAGAACACCGAUUGCGAAGGCAGCUAACGAAACUAUAACUGACGCUGAGGCACGAAAAGUGCGGGGGAUCAAAACAGG